ACAGAGGCGUAUUUACGUCAAAUUCUCCGGAACCGUGGUUCCACUGUAACUUUUUUUAAUCUGUGUGUUAUUCGGGGUACAUUGCGUUAAUCAUAAUAUGCAAAAUACGAUACUAGUAAGGCAAACAUAACCCAUAACUUCACGACUCAAUUGAUUAAUCACGGAGACGAGAUUCAUUUGUUUAUAUUGCAUACUCGACGUAACUAGAUAUGUACGUCGGAAGCAGUUUCUUGAUAAACAAUAAAUAAUGUAGCGCUGAAUUGUAUUGUUGAAAGAUUUCCGUGGAAACAGACGAUUUUUCUGCUGCAAAGGAGUGCUUUUGUGAAAUAAUAUGUGUGAAAGUAUGAGAAUUUUUACUGAGGAAACUUAUCCACGGUCAUGGAGUCUAAAUCCACAGGAACGGAGAAAAUAUAUCCUUCAGGAAAUAGAGGGCUCACAUCCAUUAACGAUUAGCUACCAGGGUCUAGCAAAAAUGCUGUUAAUAACAGCGAGGAUGCAGAGAGUCCAUGAAGAUAUGUGUUCUGGUGCAUAUGAUGCGAGACGAAGGAGAGACCAGAGAGAUACAGAGGCUCUUGUCAAGGCACUGGAAGCAGAGGAGGAUGGACCUAGGUCUGGAACAGAAAAUGAGUUGUCUGUCAUUGGAGGUUAUAUAGACAAGAUUAUGAAAAGUGACAUGCCUCUUGCUGAAGAAGAAACUCUUCUUAGUUCACAAUUUGAGAAUUUGAAGGCCCGUUGUAAGAAGUCAAUGGCUGUUAUUGAGGACAAAGGGGCGGAGGUGACUGGAAUAGGAGAACAUGUAAAUAAGCUGAUACACGAGAAUGAGAGGAUGCAGUUGCAGAUUGAAUUAGAGAGUGACAGGGAGAACGACUUAAUGGAAUUUAAGCAGGAAACGGAUGAGUCUAAGGAGCAACUGGAAUGGGAGCUGGAGGCUAUGAAGAAGGGUUAUGUAGAUGUUUAUGGAACAGCUUGUGAUUGCAUGGAAGGCUCUCAGUGUUUUUUCUUAGAUUCUGCGGAUAAUGGGAUGAAUGAACGUGAAGUUUUGAUGAAUGUGAUAGAACAGCAGGCCGCACAUAAACGAUUACAUUCAUCUACAAGCAUUCAAAAUAAUUUAUGUGCUGAAGGGAACAUUCCACGAGUGAGAUCACAAGACUAUUCUGGUGUUAAUGCAGAACAUGAAAGACUUGAUGAGAAAGGAAAGAUACCCAGUUGCACGAAGACGUUGGCUAUCGCGAAGGACACUGGAGGAACAACACAGCUGGAAGUAGUCUUAGAUGACUUAAAGGAAAGACAACUGGUCCUUGAGGAACGGCGGAUACAGAUGCAAAAUGAAUUGGAUUCAUUUAGUGACAUGCAGAAACAUUUGGUGGUACUGAAGCAGAUAUCAGACGAGACUUAUAAUAUGAGUCAGCAGCUGGGACAGAAGGUGGAUUCUCUUGGGAAGGCUGGUGUAGAUGAAAUAGAUUCUUAUUAUGUGAAAGGCUCUUGGUACAGUGAAGAAUGUGAACUUAUAAAGAAUAUUAUGGAAAGGGUAGAAGAUAGAGCAAGACAUAGACGUGAUGAUCUUCUGCUGAACGUGAAAAAUCAGCAGGCUGCGUUGUAUGAAUCUUCAAGCAUUCAGAUGAAUCUCGCUGCUCAAAGGGACGUCCCACAAGUGAGAUUACGAGAUCGUGCAGGUGUUGACGCCGAACUUGAAAAGCUUCAUUACAGCGAGAAUAAAGCUAAAGCGAUAAGGAUUGAGUGUGACAAACUGACAGAUAUUUUAGGAAAAGUUUACAGCGUUGCGGUGCCCCUACUUAACAAGGUCAAUAAAGAAGAUAUAAUUACUGACGUAGACAAUGAUAAACAAGUGGAGGUCUCCCGUUAUGGAUUGGAAUUAUGGGACUGACUGCUUUGAUUGACGCUCAUUCUUCUGACAUGGAAAAGAAUCAGCUAUUGUCUACAUAUACACUAACGUACAGGGUGGAGAGGACAGGAUAUGGGCUUUAAAACACAGAAACUAUAUCGAUAAUUUGUGAGAUACCACCAGAAGAGCUAUUGUAGAACAUUACAAAAAUAGCACAUCUCCUGGGCUUUUGGUGGAACCUCAAAAGACUGACAGCAAUGUUAACAUUCGCUAUCAAUUUUGUCAUGGCCACAUAGCAUAUGUGUGUACACAGCGUCUCAUGAUACAAUAAAAACAAGAAGAAUCAACUUGGAAUGGUUCAGUCUAAUCCAGUGGAGUGGGUUAUCACAGUCAGUGGGUUGCAUGCAGUUCCUUCCCCACUACAAAAAGAAACCAAAAUGCCAUCAUGGAAUUGGAUUUCUUUAAUUGGCAGAUGAAGAAAAAUCUUAAGUGCUGUAAUGGGAUUUACAGAUUUUCUAACCCCUUUAGAGAACUUCGUAUGACACCCUGCCUGCGUUUGUGGGUACAUGUUAAUGGCAGGACAUCCCCAGCGCCUGAGAGACGUGUAAGGUGUUUGGACAGAUGCCGUUUGUCGAUAGCGCAUUCAAGAUCUCAAAUCUAAGGUAUCAAGUACAGGUAAUUUCUUUAUAAUUGUUUUAUUAUUUGUAAAUGACAUAAAAGUAUUAAAACCUAUUAAUUAUUUUAAUCUUCUUCACCUUGUGCUGCAAUCUUGUGGUAGAUUUAGUGCUAAAUAUUUGGUCACAUAGAAGAGACAUCUCAUGUUCAAGAGUAUAUACAUUUUUCAUUGUAUUUCAAUAAAUAUACAUCAUACUGAAAAAAAUGUUUUGAAUAAAUGCAGUAUAGUGACCAACUACAGACUGGACAAUCAGGGAUCGAUCACUGACAGGAGUAGAGGAUUCUUCCUCUAGCUUCUACAUCCUGACCAUCUCUGGGGCCCACCUAGCCUCCUACCUAAUGGGUACCGGGGCCCUGUCCCAGGGGUAAAGAGCGGACAGGACGUGAUGCUGACCACUCACCCCCUCUAGUGUCGAGGUUGAGAAUGAGUAGGAGCUAUAUCUCCUCUCCCUCUUCCCCUUGGAGAAAAUUUAUAAAAGUUUAAUUUCAGCAUCUUUUGAUGGAAACAUGAAAUAUGAGGUAGGAUGAUGAUAGAGUCAGCAAGGGCCUCUGAAAUGUUUUAAAAUUCUACCAGAAUACAUGGCACUACAAAGUAGAAGAUAACCAUCAUAACGAAAUACCAAGUUUCACUGAAAUCCAUUCAGUAUUUUCUUAAAUAAAAUAUUUAAAUGGGUGGUUGGACAGACAUUACAUCCCA